rnacentral:rRNA from 1 species
UACGUAGGCAGCAAGCGUUGUUCGGAGUUACUGGGCGUAAAGGGUGUGUAGGCGGUUCCUUAAGUUUGCUGUGAAAUCUCCCGGCUUAACCGGGAGGGUGCGGUGAAUACUGAGGGACUAGAGUACGGGAGAGGAAAGUGGAAUUCCCGGUGUAGCGGUGAAAUGCGCAGAUAUCAGGAAGAACACCCGUGGCGAAAGCGGCUCUCUGGAACGGUACUGACGCUGAGACGCGAAAGCGUGGGGAGCGAACAGG